rnacentral:rRNA from 1 species
CCUACGGGAGGCAGCAGUGGGGAAUAUUGGACAAUGGGGGGAACCCUGAUCCAGCGACGUCGCGUGAGUGAAGAAGUAUUUCGGUAUGUAAAGCUCUAUCAGCAGGGAAGAAAAUGACGGUACCUGACUAAGAAGCCCCGGCUAACUACGUGCCAGCAGCCGCGGUAAUACGGAGGGGGCAAGCGUUAUCCGGAUUUACUUGGUGUAAAGGGAGCGUAGACGGGGCAGCAAGUCUGAUGUGAAAGGUGGGGGCCCAACCCCGGGACUGCAUUGGAAACUGUUGAACUGGAGUGCAGGAGAGGUAAGCGGAAGUCGUGGUGUAGCGGUGAAAUGCGUAGAUAUCAGGAAGAACACCAGUGGCGAAGGCGGCUUACUGGACUGUAACUGACGUUGAGGCACGAAAGCGUGGGGAGCAAACAGGAUUAGAUACCCCUGUAGUC